rnacentral:misc_RNA from 1 species
AACGCGAUGGAUAUCGGUGCCCGCAAGCCCUUCGCGCAAGGUCUUGAUAACGGGAAUGGCCGCGCCAACCGCGGCCUCAUAGUUCAGCGCGCCGCCAUGCUUCUCGGCCAGCGCAGCCAGGCGCGAACCGUGUUUAGCGAUCAGCGCCUUGUUCGCCGUGACCACCGAUUUGCUGUUCCGCAGCGCGGCUUCGAUUGCCGA